rnacentral:rRNA from 1 species
UACGUAGGGUGCAAGCGUUGUCCGGAAUUAUUGGGCGUAAAGCGCGCGCAGGCGGUCCUUUAAGUCUGAUGUGAAAGCCCACGGCUCAACCGUGGAGGGUCAUUGGAAACUGGGGGACUUGAGUACAGAAGAGAAGAGUGGAAUUCCACGUGUAGCGGUGAAAUGCGUAGAGAUGUGGAGGAACACCAGUGGCGAAGGCGACUCUGUGGUCUGUAACUGACGCUGAGGCGCGAAAGCGUGGGGAGCAAACAGG